UACAGAGGUCCCGAGCGUUGUUCGGAUUUACUGGGCGUAAAGGGUGCGUAGGUGGUUGGGUAAGUUUGAGGUGAAAGCUCCGAGCCUAACUCGGAAAAUGCCUUGAAGACUAUCUGACUAGAGGAUUGGAGGGGAGACUGGAAUUCUCGGUGUAGCAGUGAAAUGCGUAGAUAUCGAGAGGAACACCAGUGGCGAAGGCGAGUCUCUGGACAAUUCCUGACACUGAGGCACGAAAGCCAAGGGAGCAAACGGGAUUAGAUCCCCCGGUAGUCUGGGUUGUAAACGGUGCGCACUUGCUGUGAGGGGAUUCGACCCCGCUCGUGGCGAAUUUAACCCGAAAAGUGCGCCGCCUGGGAAGUACGGUCGCAAGAUAA
rnacentral:rRNA from 1 species